UAGCAAAACACGUUUGCCACCUACAAACUUAAGACCAAGCUCAGAGCACUGACUCUGGACAAAACCUUGUGCAACUGGACACUGGACAUAGUGACAUGCAGAACUCAGGCUGUGAAAAUUGUUAACAGCACAUCCUUCUGAAGACAGUUUGUAUGUGCUUGCGGCUUUAGGACCCAGUGUGGGCUUGUGAUGCUAGCCUAUCACGACAGCGUAGGAUCCAGCAGCAGCCUCUAUUCUAUGCGCUAAUGAAGUGGAGGCUCAUUUUCUCACUAGCAUAAAUCAUGUUGUACUCUAGUAAAAAAAGCCUAAUUUGGUAUUUUAUAUCCGUUGGUACGUUUGUGAACGGACAACUUGAUGACGCUAAACUAAAUGAAAGGCCGUAUGUUGUCCUACUGAAUCAAAAUUUGGUUUUGCUUGUUACGGUUUUCUCUAUCUUGCUGGUGGUGAUGAUUGGCAUGGCCGUUUGUGUAUAUAAACCAUUACAACGCCGGUGAAGCGGUGUACGGACGUCGUGUGCAGGUUCCUCCUGUGGGACAGGAUCCAAGGGAAUCAACAAUGGACUCAGCUAUCAUAAAGCCUAAAAUCUGUGAUAAACUGUCAUGUCUGAGAUUACAGGGUCUUUUUUUGUUUUACAUUAAUCGUACUCUAUUAUUGUAGUAUUUAUUUCCAGUGUAUACGUUUGCAAGGAAAUAAAUAUGUUUGUAUUGUCAUAUAUUAAUGGAGUUAGAACGUACAGUAUGCUUUUUAUUUGACAUAUUCUGCUUUACGCAAAAAUACAGUAUUAAAAACAAGAACUAACAAAUCUGUUCUUAUUUUAGCAAAAUCCACGACUUUGUAUGUUGUCAAAAGUUAUAACAGCUAUACCAAUUUCUACGGGUGUGUCGUGGGCAAAU